rnacentral:snRNA from 1 species
ACGUGGGGAAUAAAGCUGGGCAUUGUGCUGGGCUUGCAACAUCUCUCCCUUCCCAGAGUUCCUG